AAAGGAAUAGACGGGGGCCCGCACAAGCGGAGGAACAUGUGGUUUAAUUCGAUGAUACGCGAGGAACCUUACCUGGGAUUGAAAUGUAUAGGACGAUUGGUGGAAACACCUUUUUCCCCUUUUGGGGCUUAUAUGUAGGUGCUGCAUGGUUGUCGUCAGCUCGUGCCGUGAGGUGUCGGCUUAAGUGCCAUAACGAGCGCAACCCUUAUCGUUAGUUACUAACAGGUCAUGCUGAGGACUCUAGCGAGACUGCCGUCGUAAGGCGAGAGGAAGGUGGGGAUGACGUCAAAUCAGCACGGCCCUUAUAUCCAGGGCGACACACGUGUUACAAUGGUGAGGACAAAGGGCAGCUACCUGGUGACAGGAUGCUAAUCUCUAAACCUCAUCUCAGUUCGGAUCGAAGUCUGCAACUCGACUUCGUGAAGCUGGAUUCGCUAGUAAUCGCGCAUCAGCCAUGGCGCGGUGAAUACGUUCCCGGGCCUUGUACACACCGCCCGU
rnacentral:rRNA from 1 species